rnacentral:rRNA from 1 species
UGCCAGCCGCCGCGGUAAUACGGAGGGUGCAAGCGUUAAUCGGAAUUACUGGGCGUAAAGCGCGCGUAGGUGGCCAAGUCAGUCAGAUGUGAAAGCCCUGGGCUCAACCUGGGAACUGCAUCUGAUACUGCUUGGCUAGAGUAUGGUAGAGGGGUGUGGAAUUUCCUGUGUAGCGGUGAAAUGCGUAGAUAUAGGAAGGAACACCAGUGGCGAAGGCGGCUCCCUGGCCAAAGACCGACGCUCAUGUGCGAAAGUGUGGGUAGCGAACAGGAUUAGAUA